UACGUAGGGUGCGAGCGUUGUCCGGAAUUAUUGGGCGUAAAGAGCUCGUAGGCGGUCUGUCGCGUCUGCUGUGAAAUCCCGAGGCUCAACCUCGGGCCUGCAGUGGGUACGGGCAGACUAGAGUGCGGUAGGGGAGAUUGGAAUUCCUGGUGUAGCGGUGGAAUGCGCAGAUAUCAGGAAGAACACCCGUGGCUAAGGCGGCUCUCUAGUACGGUACUGACGCUGAGACGCGAAAGCGUGGGGAGCGAACAGG
rnacentral:rRNA from 1 species